CUGCCUUAACAUGCAAGUCGAACGGCAGCACGGGUGCAAUCCUGGUGGCGAGUGGCGAACGGGUGAGUAAUAUAUCGGAACGUGCCCAGUUGUGGGGGAUAGCCCGGCGAAAGCCGGAUUAAUACCGCAUACGACCUGAGGGUGAAAGCGGGGGAUCGCAAGACCUCGCGCAGUUGGAGCGGCCGAUAUCAGAUUAGCUAGUUGGUGGGGUAAAGGCUCACCAAGGCGACGAUCUGUAGCUGGUCUGAGAGGACGACCAGCCACACUGGGACUGAGACACGGCCCAGACUCCUACGGGAGGCAGCAGUGGGGAAUUUUGGACAAUGGACGCAAGUCUGAUCCAGCCAUGCCGCGUGUGGGAAGAAGGCCUUCGGGUUGUAAACCACUUUUGUCAGGGAAGAAACGGCUUGAACUAAUAUUUUGAGCUAAUGACGGUACCUGAAGAAUAAGCACCGGCUAACUACGUGCCAGCAGCCGCGGUAAUACGUAGGGUGCAAGCGUUAAUCGGAAUUACUGGGCGUAAAGCGUGCGCAGGCGGUUAUGCAAGACAGAUGUGAAAUCCCCG
rnacentral:rRNA from 1 species